CAGGCCCCCGCGAAUUGAAAUCGAAUUGCUAAUAAAACAUAUUACUGUUGUUGUACUGUACAGUACUUGUAAAAUAAAAACUUAUUAAGUGUCAUUAAAUAAAUGCAUAAAUUUUGCUUUAUGCACUCGCGCGUGCAGUAAUUUUCACAGUUGUGCUCUUUUAAAUUCCCAGGCAGCUAAAAUCUUUUGUCUUUAAAACAAUGUCGAUUUCUUGGGAAAUUCCGAGGUUGCGUUCUUUUAUACACCCUGUAUUGAAGUAAUCUAAUGUUGUUAGAAUUUGAAUGGACUGGCACUUUGCUGAACGUAAUAAUG